UACGAAGGGGGCUAGCGUUGCUCGGAAUCACUGGGCGUAAAGGGUGCGUAGGCGGGUCUUUAGGUCAGGGGUGAAAUCCUGGAGCUCAACUCCAGAACUGCCUUUGAUACUGAGGAUCUUGAGUCCGGGAGAGGUGAGUGGAACUCCGAGUGUAGAGGUGAAAUUCGUAGAUAUUCGGAAGAACACCAGUGGCGAAGGCGGCUCACUGGCCCGGUACUGACGCUGAGGUGCGAAAGCGUGGGGAGCAAACAGG
rnacentral:rRNA from 1 species